AACGGUUAUUUUGCUUGGUGCACUUUGGUCCGCUACUUGCGUAAUAAGGCUGUAAAAAUGGUGUUGGUUAUCAUGUGCAUCUGACAAGUGAGAUGAACUUUCAGCCAUCCUUGUAAAGCCAUAGUGAAAGAUCUACUCACCACUGAAUCGUUCAAGCACCGAUAUCAUGAACGUCGGAGGAUAUAAAUUCUCAGCAUUAGAGAUUGAGAAUCAGUGAUUUUGAAGGUUACCUCAUUGUUAUCCUUUGUACUCUCUCUCAAGGAAAGUGAAAGACAACCCUCACACUUACAAUAGAAAAGGAAGAAUAAAGAACAUGAAAUGACCACCAGCCAAAUCACUUGUGCAGCAUCUGUCUGUCAUAGAAUGUUGUGUGUUGGGAUUACCAGACAAAGACCAUGGAGAACGUGUUCGUGCAAUUAUUGUGCUUCAGCCCAACAAAAAAAUGACGACGCCUGAUGAGUCCCAAGCCUACUAUGAGCUUAGAUGAACUCCCCACAUGGGCUAAAGACAAGCUUGCUCCAUACAAGGUAAUCCAGAUUGGAGAUUUCAGUUGUUAAAACUGUCAUUUCUGUGCAAAUACAUUGUUAAGACAGAUUGAUAAAAUAAUAAUAAUAUAAUACGAUGACAAGUUUUUUCCUA